UUCAUUUUUCUUGGUGCUUCUAGAUGUAACAGCUCUUAGGAUGGCAGAGUGAAAAUCUGACCUUAAUCCUUGCAAAAGUUGCAGGGCAUUGUGCUGUGUGGGUAUAUUACAGUGAAGAUCAGCUUUUGUGUAUCACUGACUGCUGCUCCAGGGCAGGCUGAAAUGGCUUGAAAGAGCUUGGUGACUGGCGGCUCCGAGGCUCUGAUAGUGCACCUGGAUCAGAAUGUCCUAAAUAAAUAUAUACAAGUGGGGCUAUUGAAGAGAAGGAGUGAAGAAAGAGGAGGGAGAAAGGGAGCCAGAGCUUUCCUGCAUGCGCUCCUCCCCCGGGCAGCAAAUCUCCAACUAAUUAAUUAUGUUGGGCUGCAGAAAACCGUGAAUAAAGGCUUCCACUCUUUUAAAGCUAAAGACACAGGCAUGUGGAUGGCUGCCAUGUGGCAGAACUCCUCUUCCCCGUGUGUUUGGGGGCAGGAGGUUGUAAGUGACCCAGGCUGGACAAGGAGGAUGAGCACCAGGGUGCUCUGUGCACGUGCAGAGCCCCGAGCAAAGGCGCCCUGCGAAGGACAGGUCACUGUGCUCACGUGGCAGGGGACGGUGCCCACAGCGCUGGGCUGCCACAACCGUGUCACUUCUCCUGCCCUGCCCUUCUCCUGAAUACAUUCCCCUACUCGGAGCCAUUCCCAGCCAACUCGGAUGCCCUUGCUCCCCUCCUGCUAGGGGGAGGCAGGUGGAGCCACUGAUUCUGAGUGAUUUGGACACUCAGGGCACAGGGAGCAACCCUUGUAGCACAACUGUCACUUUGCAGCUGUAGCAGCCCCCAGGACCCCUGCCAGCACUGCCACUGCUGGUUACUUCUGUCUGCCACCCUCGUAUGUCCAGAGGCAUUUAGGUACAGAGACCUUUCUUCCAUGUGUUACAGCUAAAUGCAGAAACAGCCUGACCCUCUGCAGCAACGCAAAAAACCUGCCCACCUCUUCUCCAUCAGCCUUUUUUCUUGACUUAGAAGAAAGUGUAUCCUCUUGCAGGGUGCUGCCCCACUUCUGCUCCCUUCCCAUCUGCUUCUGGGGAGUUUAGGAAGCCCUGUUCCUCCAGGUGCUCAGCUCACAGCCCAGCUGCCUUGUGCCUGGCUAUUGGCACAGGCUGGAGAUGCUGCCCGUGUGGGAAGAGAUCCUGACCUCAGAUGAGUGAUCAGUGCUGUCUGUGCAGCUGCACAGCAAGAGCACAGGGCUGUAACCUUCCAGUCUGAGCUUGCAGGGAAAGGGAGUGAUGAAAUACUUGAUGUACUCUCAAAAUGAUGUUAUGUCCACCACUAGUCCUGAGCAGGAUGCAGAGCAAUACUUCUUUUGGGGGCCCAACACCAAAACCAGUGUCCCUGACACAGUUCUGCUUCAAAGACUGAUGCUUGUGGGGUGUGCUGUGCUGCUCCUUGCUCUGCCUCCUCCUGCAGACACCAGUGCUUGGCCACCACCUCCCAGUUCAGGUGCCUUCCCAGGACUCAAUACUUCCUUGUGGCCCAAGAAGUCUUGGAGGAUGGCACGAUCACAUCCUUGCUCCAACUGCUGGUGCUGCAGCUGCAUAUUUGGAAGAGGCCAAGAAGCAUGGACCUGGAUAUUACACACAUGAAGGUCUGAAUCCUUCAGAGAGGAGGCAGAUUAACUGAGCAGGGCCAGAGCAGCUGCACAGACUACAGUGACUUCCCAGAAAGCUGCAGAGGAAUGGUCUGUUUUAACCAUUAGAACUGUCACUUUUUGGAGAGAUGGUUUAUAACUGUUAAAUACACAUGGAAAAAAACAAAAAACAAACUAACAUAAAAUCCCUUUGAAAUUCCCAGCUGUGCAAAAAGCAGCAGUUGUGUAACAUCUGGUCUCCUUCCUUUGGGGUAUUUUGUAUUGGAAAUAUUUUCCUAAAUUCUUGGCCCACAUAUGACAUAGUCUUUUUGGACAGAUUAAGCAGAAGCUUUGGAAACCCUGAAGGUGUGUUUAAUGCGAGCACACAGAUCUGUUGGAGUGAGGUGAGGUGGGAAUUUAGCACUGUGCUGCUCUGGGAAAGCCUUUUGGGAGAGGAGCCAGAGUGUGAGUGCGGGAGCGAGCGGGCAGUGCGUUAUCCUGAGUGCUGGCACUGCCUUUAGCAGGAGCAGGAUGGGACCCUGGUGCUGUCACUGCUCUGAGUGGCUCCUGCCUGUCACACUGAGUCAGUGCACUCACCCUGUCACCAGCCAGCACUACAGGAGCAAAGAGAGAGGAUUGGAAAAUGCUGGGCUGGGGGGACAGGCUCCAUGUGCAGGGUGUUCGUGGCCGGUGCCUUGGCUCCCAGUCCCUCAGGCUCAGAGCUGCUGGGAGAAAACGUCCUUCAGGAUUCAGACCAUAAAUCCUCUGUGCAUGGCCUUGCCAAGGAGAAUUGCCACUGUUAGCUGAUUGUCUCAGGAUGGGAAAUAUGGAAAACUCUGGUGUUUUGUUCGUUUGUUUGGGUUUUUUGGUUGUU